rnacentral:rRNA from 1 species
UACGAAGGGGGCUAGCGUUGUUCGGAAUUACUGGGCGUAAAGCGCACGUAGGCGGACAUUUAAGUCAGGGGUGAAAUCCCAGAGCUCAACUCUGGAACUGCCUUUGAUACUGGGUGUCUUGAGUAUGGAAGAGGUGAGUGGAAUUCCGAGUGUAGAGGUGAAAUUCGUAGAUAUUCGGAGGAACGCCAGUGGCGAAGGCGGCUCACUGGUCCAUUACUGACGCUGAGGUGCGAAAGCGUGGGGAGCAAACAGG